UGCCGGUGGACAAACCGGAGGAAGGUGGGGAUGACGUCAAGUCAUCAUGGCCCUUACGGCCUGGGCUACACACGUGCUACAAUGGUCGGUACAAAGGGUUGCCAAGCCGCGAGGUGGAGCUAAUCCCAUAAAACCGAUCGUAGUCCGGAUCGCAGUCUGCAACUCGACUGCGUGAAGUCGGAAUCGCUAGUAAUCGUGAAUCAGAAUGUCACGGUGAAUACGUUCCCGGGCCUU
rnacentral:rRNA from 1 species